rfam:Brassica napus, WGS project CCCW01000000 data, contig: 19424
GGAAUAUAAGAACCCGUCUCUUAACUUUUAACUAAAAAAACUAAGAACCGGCUCUUAAAUAAGAGUUUUAAGAGAAGGUUCUUAGCUUUUUUAGUUAAAAGUUAAGAGACGAGUUCUUAUAUUCC